rnacentral:rRNA from 1 species
GACGAACGCUAGCGGCAGGCUUAACACAUGCAAGUCGAGGGGUAACAGGGAGCUUGCUCUGCUGACGACCGGCGCACGGGUGCGUAACGCGUAUGCAACCUACCUUCUACAGGGGGAUAGUCAAUAGAAAUGUUGAAUAAUACCCCAUACGAUCUUUGAGUGGCAUUACUCAAAGAGGAAAGCUUCGGCGGUAGAAGAUGGGCAUGCGUCCUAUUAGUUAGUUGGUGAGGUAACGGCUCACCAAGACUACGAUAGGUAGGGGCCCUGAGAGGGGGAUCCCCCACACUGGUACUGAGACACGGACCAGACUCCUACGGGAGGCAGCAGUGAGGAAUAUUGGACAAUGGAGGCAACUCUGAUCCAGCCAUGCCGCGUGCAGGAAGACUGCCCUAUGGGUUGUAAACUGCUUUUAUACAGGAAGAAACCUACUUACGUGUAAGUAGCUGACGGUACUGUAAGAAUAAGGAUCGGCUAACUCCGUGC